rnacentral:rRNA from 1 species
GGAACGAACGCUGGCGGCAGGCUUAACACAUGCAAGUCGAACGCCCCGCAAGGGGAGUGGCAGACGGGUGAGUAACGCGUGGGAAUCUACCCAGUUCUACGGAAUAACACAGGGAAACUUGUGCUAAUACCGUAUACGCCCUACGGGGAAAGAUUUAUCGGGAUUGGAUGAGCCCGCGUUGGAUUAGCUAGUUGGUGGGGUAAUGGCCUACCAAGGCGACGAUCCAUAGCUGGUCUGAGAGGAUGAUCAGCCACACUGGGACUGAGACACGGCCCAGACUCCUACGGGAGGCAGCAGUGGGGAAUAUUGGACAAUGGGCGCAAGCCUGAUCCAGCCAUGCCGCGUGAGUGAUGAAGGCCUUAGGGUUGUAAAGCUCUUUCAGUGGGGAAGAUAAUGACGGUACCCACAGAAGAAGCCCCGGCUAACUUCGUGCCAGCAGCCGC